ensembl:misc_RNA Metazoa_SRP Metazoan signal recognition particle RNA
GCUGGGUAUGGUGGCGCAUGCCUGUAAUCCCAGCUACUUGGAGGCUGAGGCAGAAUAAUUGCUUGAACCUGGGGGGUGGAGGUUGCAGUGAGCUGAGAUUGUGCCACUGCACCCCAGCCAAGCUGACAGAGCAAGACUCUGUCUCAA